UUUGUAAUUAGUUCAUACUUUUGUUUUUGUUUUGCAGAAUUAGAAGUUAGUGCUUGCUGUGAUUACCACUGUGAAAAUGUGUGGCUAAUGUAAAAAUUCAUUUAUCUCAAGAUGGCAGCAGGUAAAAAUAUAGUGAUUUUAGUGUCAAGAUACUAUAAUCUAUAGCCCAUCAAAUGUAAUAUAGUUGGAUUCAUCUUUCUGCUUCGUCUCCUGCUAGAUUUGUAUUGUUCAACACCAAUAUAUUUGGUGAAUGUUAUAGGCAGUUUUCUUUGGUAGGAAAGAAAAUUGGGCGAUCUUUGUCCUACUGCAUACUGCUAAAAAUAAGUCAUUUUUAUUUUUAUUCUUGUAAUAGGAGAAAUAAAUAUUUUAAAAAAGAUCACAGUGAUGGUGAACUAGAACCUAAUUUUUUAUUGCCUCAGUCAUUAAUUAGUAUACAUUAGGCCAACAGAUGAACACAAUAACAAAUACCAUGUGUUUGGUAGCAUGAAUUAAGCCAUAUAAGAAAGGUAUCUUGGGUUAUUCAAGUGUUUGAUAGCUAGGAUAAGUAACACGCGAAGCCCGGGAAUAAGGCUCGGCCCGAUCCGUCGGGCCCGGGCUAAAAUCACUGUUUCACCUUUCUUGCGAUCUUACCGAUCCGUCGCUCACCCCCGGUUACAAAUUCCAUGCUUCUACAGUGCAUCAGAUUAUUUUUUUGGAUUACAAGUUUACCCUCCAAUUCCAAUUCAAAAAUUGUGAUUUUUUGGUGAUGCGGUCAAUCUGGACGAACUCUUGCUGCUGAAAACGAUGCUAUUUCAUCGACGAAUCUCCGUUAUAGACCAUUGCCCAACAACACCGGAGUUUUGUGAAAGGUUGAGAAGGAAUAAUCCAUCUGGAUCCAUAGUGAAAUCACAUAGAAGUCUUGAAGAAUUUUCCAAGUUCAGAAAUUCCUACCCAAGCGAAUAAUCUGCAAAAUACGUAGCUCUAUCUGCACAAGUGAAGUUCAGAUUUUGGAUCUCUUGGUUCAGGUUCGCUUCUCUUCAGAAACGCUUCUCUGAAGGUGCUCUGCUCUGCUCUCUUCAAUUUCUAGGCCAAAAGCUUCAGCUCAAGAACUUGGGACACAAGUAGUAGGAGAGGCCUGUGCCGCUGCAUCGCAACAAGAAGCCAUGGCUGUUCCUUUGCUGGACAAGAAGGUUGUGAAGAAGCGUGUCACGAAGUUUAAGAGGCACCAUAGUGACAGAUAUGCAUGUCUGAAGGUAUGCAUGCUGCCAUUCUUUGAUUGUAUUCGUUUUUGUAAUGCCAAGUUCGUCACAAGGUGAAUAUGAAUAUUCUAAAAAUGGGGCCAAUUACGGUUCUGUAUUCUGUAAAAUGAUAUAAAUGUCAUUGCAUUGUCUCUGAGAUGAGGAUAAUGGAUGCAACCUAUUAGCUGAAAUUUCUGCUAGCAAGGUGCUAUUGGUUUAGUUUUAGACCUUA